UACGGGGGGGGCAAGCGUUGUUCGGAAUUACUGGGCGUAAAGGGCUCGUAGGCGGCCAACUAAGUCAGACGUGAAAUCCCUCAGCUUAACUGGGGAACUGCGUCGGAUACUGGAUGGCUUGGAUUCGGGAGAGGAAUGCGGAAUUCCAGGUGUAGCGGUGAAAUGCGUAGAUAUCUGGAGGAACACCGGUGGCGAAGGCGGCAUUCUGGACCGAUAUUGACGCUGAGGAGCGAAAGCCAGGGGAGCAAACGGG
rnacentral:rRNA from 1 species